CCUCUGCUUGAAAGGGGAUGUAUUGCAACACAUUUUUAACCUUUUUUCCCUUAGAAGACUUUCUCUGUAGCUGCACUGUUGCACUUCACUGUGUCCCUGGAGCUGCCUGCAGAGCUGAUAUUAAUUAAUCAUUUUUGCACCUCAUCAUUACAGAUUUAAGUCUCCCUUCUAGUCACCUGCUUCCAGCAGCGGCGGGCCCGGUGCCUCAGCGCUGGCUGUGCCAGGAGGAGCUGCCGGCUCCACGAAGCCAUCGGAGCUUUUCUUUUCCCUGUUCCUCACUGGUGCUGGUCCUUAGCCCUCUCGAUCGAUGCGGGGAGAGGCGGCAGCGGAGGCCAGGCUCCCUGCCCUGUGGAAGAAUGUAGCAUUUUUCUUGGCUUCAGGAAAUAAGUGUGUGCCAAGGUGAGUAUUGACUUUGUGUGGAAAACAUACGUAUCAUGGAUGAAUAAAUCUUUAUGCUUGCUUGCAGCGAAGCAGUAGCUGCAGCUCUCAGGGAAGUGCAUUGAUUUCUCCCGUCCCCCUCCAGCUCACAGCUCUCUGGUCAAAAUUUGCCAGGCAGAAACGCACUAAAUGUCACCGUUGGCUUCUCUCUGCUGCCCUUUCUAUUUCAGGAUCCCACUAAUGACCUUAUAUACAGCAAAGAGCCCAGCGGUGAUGCUCAUCCCUCCCAUGAAGCUCACGCGAGCUGCGAGAGUCACAGGCAAAGCACCGGCCGGGGAGCUGAAGGGAUUCUGGUUUGAGAAAUGCAUGAAAAAUAACUGCUGGAGUUGUGUUUGCUAACAUGGUCCCAUUUAACAUGUCACAUUAAUACCCACCUUUAAUGUGGGGAACUUCUGAAAGGUGUUUGUGUUCACCGAGCUGCCGGGUUGGCAGGGGACACCCUUCAACCAAAGGUCCUGGCAGUUCCUUUCCAGUGGGCUCCUACUGAGCGGGUCCCUGCCUGCUGGGGCUAGGCUUUUCCUUUCUGGGUUUUUUUUUUUUUUCAGUCACUGUAAUGUUAAAGACAAAUCUGUGGAGGAGGAACAGGACCUGCUAAUGGCUCGCUGGGAUGGUGGCUCUGGACUGGGAGUUACGGCCGGAGCGCUGGGCAGAGACCAGAGCCAGUGGUGGGAUGAGGAGCUGCUCCUUCUGCCCCAGCACCCGCGGCUCCAGCACGGUUCAGCGCCGGCUGGCCAGCUCCUCCUGCUGCUGAGGAUGCAAAGGGGACAUGAUGAAGCUUGGAGAAAGAGUCUGACCACGGGCAGGAACAAGAGCAGCAACAGGGGCCUGGCGAGAGGCAAUGUUCUGUGGUGAGCCUGAGCAGCUCAGGCGAGGGGCACGGCCGAGACCAUGAGGUACUUCGGCUCCAUCCUCCCGGCAUCGGCAGCCACCAGACCUUGUUCGAGAGGUGCCGCAUAGAACUCUUCGUUCUUGCCUUAAGGAAAAGCAGAGCUCCCCAAGGGGUGCUCGGGACGAGGGGUGACAGAUUUCCACUCCCGGCAACAGAGAUGUAAUUCAUUCUUUUUAUUAAAAGAAAUUGAGGUAAGUGAAAUACUUCAGCACCAGCGAGAACCGUACGUACCGAAGGUGGUUUCCCCGCCACCCCUGCCCCGCUGGGUAACCGACUCACACGCCUGCGGCACCGGCACUGCGGUCACAGCCGGGGCUGGGGGAGAACGGCCAGGACGUCGGCCGGUGACGCUGCGGUGACCUGGGGCUCCCAGGGCUAGUGCUGGAAUUUGACUUCGGACCAGCUCCAAUGUUACCUAAUGGCUGGUUUUUUGGAGCUACUUUACCCCCAAAUUAAGUGGAACCUGACCCAGUGCCUGUAACACUGAAACACAGGGGUCUGCUCUUGCCCAGCAGGCAAGAGACUUUGGCAGCAAUGGCUCCCACCCCAAGCGGAAGGAACGGAGCGGUGGGCACCAGGACACUUCCCGUAACACCUGCAGACGUCCUGGAUAAGGGACUGACUUGUGACACUACCACGUAGGAAAUCCCGGUGACAGCGGAGGAGGAGCCCAACGAGUCGCCUGUGCCGUGAUGCCCCCCGAGCGGUCCUGCCUGGCUGAGACAUUCUCUGUCUGUCCUGUGUGUCCUGCUGCAGCCCGCCUUGGCGUAAGUAAAAGCAUCUUUGGGGGUUGUUCAGGGGGUCUAGUGGGAAAAAAAGUCUUUUAAAUCAAAUUAGGGUUCUUAACUAUUAAGAAAAAGCUAGUCCUUCAGAUGACACAGCUCCGCUGGCCACGGGGCAGGGCUGCACUGCUGCUGCUCGUCCCCCCAGGGAGGAGAGCAGAGACCCUGGUGCUGCACCUCGAUUUUACAGGAGCCCUGGCACCACACGCACCCGAGGGCUGCACUGCACUUCAGAAGGGAACAGUACAGGUGUGAGGCACUGGCAUCAUCAUUAACUAAUUCUCUCAUAAAAACAUCCCUUCUGGUUCAUGCUAUACUAAAAGCGGAACUGUAAAAUCUGAAAUACUUUUAAGACAAUCAUUGGUGUAAGCUCUCCACUACUACUUAGACCAAGUUCCAUAACAGUAUCCAAGUAUUAGGGGCUGACCGUGCUUCCCUCCAGAGUUCCAACUUCUCUGAUCUUUUAUUAUGGUCAGGAGCCCCAUGAAAAUAAAAGUGUGGAAAUAAGCCAAGGACCGGGGCUGGGGUCAGCCUGCGGUGAUCUGCGCUGCUGCCGCACCUCUGACCUGGGCAGCCUGGCUCAGUGCCGGUGCUGCACUUACCUGCCAUAGAGACAAUUAUUCCCAACCAGAUGCAAAGAAUGACCAUUGGAACGGGAUUACCAAGAAUAACUUUUCUUAUAUUUCUGUCUUCCCAUGUGUAUAAUGGCAGUCCCUUCCCCAGCCGCGCAACAGGACCAGCCAAGCGCAGGCAGCUCCACUCGAGCCAGCUCCAGGGCAGAGGUGGGCGAUGGAGAAAAACUUUGCUCAGAUGCAUUAGACCGAGAUUUCCUUUCGCAGUUCUAACCAUGUUGGUGUAUUUGACUCUGUCCUUUCCCCUCCUUUACUCUGGCAGGCUGUAACUGCUUUCUGCUUCAAUUACCUACCUGUAUGAAAGGGAUUAGCACUUACAUGAAGUAUAUGCAACACUGGGACUGCCCGUGUCUGUUAUCCCUCAAAAUAAGUAGGGAAGGAAGAGCAGAAAUGGCUGAGCAGCUGGGUGUUGGUCUCCUCUUUUACCUCCUCCUAAAGGGCCUUUUCACACAGUUUACUGACCUGUUCUAAAGGAACUGGGCACAAAGGCAAAGCGAGCGGGGAUUUAGCCUCCAAAAUCC